ncrna:unclassified sequences L31-Actinobacteria ribosomal protein leader
UCGGUUCCGGUUCACGUCCACGCGCUAACGCAAGGGCGACCCGGCGACU